GGUCAGGUUAACAGAGUCAGUGGCUGUAAAGGAUUUUGGUGAUGAUUCUGGUGAACGACUAAAUGCCCAGUCUAUCUCUAUCGAUUGCAGAAUUGGUAAACCUCUCAUCUGUGGAGUGAUAUUGAUUUGUCGAUAGCUAUCAAAAGGCCAGGAACCAUCUUGCGCUCAACCAGAUUCAUGUUCUUUGAUUCCCUUUUCCAUCAAGGUCACCGUGCAGCCGCCCGAUUUCAGCGAUUGCAACCAUGGAUUUCGCGUCCCUAUUUCGCCCGCCUCCCCCGCGCACGGGAUUGACUCUGC